UUGCUUCGGCAGCACAUAUACUAAAAUUGGAAUGAUACAGAGAUUAGCAUGACCCCUGUGCUAUCAGACAAGGAGGCAAUCAUUGGGCCAGUUUUU
rnacentral:snRNA from 1 species